GGGGCCUUAGCUCAGCUGGGAGAGCACCUGCUUUGCAAGCAGGGGGUCGUCGGUUCGAUCCCGACAGGCUCCACCAUUUGAGUGAAACGACUUUGGGGUCUGUAGCUCAGGUGGUUAGAGCGCACCCCUGAUAAGGGUGAGGUCGUGUGGUUCGAGUCCUCCCAGACCCACCACUCUGAAUGUAGUGCACACUUAAGAAUUUAUAUGGCUCAGCGUUGAGGCUGAGACAUGUUCUUUUAUAACUUGUGACGUAGCGAGCGUUUGAGAUAUCUAUCUAAACGUGUCGUUGAGGCUAAGGCGGGGACUUCGAGUCCCUAAAUAAUUGAGUCGUAUGUUCGCGUUGGUGGCUUUG
rnacentral:tRNA from 1 species